rnacentral:rRNA from 1 species
CCUACGGGUGGCUGCAGUGGGGAAUAUUGCACAAUGGGCGCAAGCCUGAUGCAGCCAUGCCGCGUGUGUGAAGAAGGCCUUCGGGUUGUAAAGCACUUUCAGCGGCGAGGAAGGCGGUGAGGUUAAUAACCUCAUCGAUUGACGUUACCCGCAGAAGAAGCACCGGCUAACUCCGUGCCAGCAGCCGCGGUAAUACGGAGGGUGCAAGCGUUAAUCGGAAUUACUGGGCGUAAAGCGCACGCAGGCGGUCUGUCAAGUCGGAUGUGAAAUCCCCGGGCUCAACCUGGGAACUGCAUUCGAAACUGGCAGGCUAGAGUCUUGUAGAGGGGGGUAGAAUUCCAGGUGUAGCGGUGAAAUGCGUAGAGAUCUGGAGGAAUACCGUUGGCGAAGGCGGCCCCCUGGACAAAGACUGACGCUCAGGUGCGAAAGCGUGGGGAGCAAACAGGAUUAGGUACCCUGGUAGUC